AUGCAGCACCGGAUCUACUGUUCAAAAUGCCACGUAUCUGGACGCCUAGCCUUUGAACGAGAAGGAAGCUCUAGCGACAUCGCGUCGCGUGCGAGCAAAGGACCGGAGCACGUAGCGGCCGACGUGCGCCCGCGACACAGCCCGCGGUUUACCAUACCAUACCACGUAUCGUGCCAACGCGACACAGCAGCGGCGAACACACAGCAGCGAGGUCACUGGAAGCAGAAAGGAAACCAACGAGAAAAGAGACGAGAGAACACCCGAGACCGGAGACCCGGCCCAACGGCCCCUCCACUUGAGAACAAAAAACAAGAGACACCCUGGGCCGCGGGCCCCAAAGCCUGUUAG
rnacentral:rRNA from 1 species